GGGACAGAAGAAGAGAGCCGAGGGAGGGGAAGGAAGCUUGCAGCACUGCUCGCUAUGCUGGGUUCUGUAAAAUCAGGUGAUUAGACAUGGGAGGAGGAAGGACAGAAGUAUCACCCUUCGGACUCCUCUGGAGAGGCUGAGACAUCACCAUGGUCACAUCCUGGAAUCUGGGAAUGAGGACUGGUUGAGGCUGGAAGCCACUGUCCUCAAGACCAGCUUGAAUCUGGAAUGUGCCCCGAAGACCCAUGAGCUAAAGGCUUGGCUUUCAGAUGCUGUUGGAGUGGUGGAGCCUUUAGAGAUAGGCUCUAGUAGGAAAAAAAUACAUGACUGGGAACAUGCCAUUGAAGGAGAUUGUUUUCCAUGGUGAUGUGCUGGACCAUCAGAAGCCCCAGAGUAAUGGUGCCAAGUGAUAAAGGCUGAAACUCCCCAAACUCCUGCACUCGAGGCCUCUUGACUGUGCCCUAAGUCUGCCUCCUAUAUCCACUUGACAGUUUUGCUUCAGUUCUACCCAAGAGGAAAGUGGAUCAUCUAAGGAGCCAACAAGAAUUACAGAGCCUCAAGACCCUGAAGCAACAAGACUUCCUUGGGACUGGUUCCAGCCUUCUAACAUGGAGGAGCCUCGCCUGCAUCACACACUAGAUCAUCAGCCCAGAAAUGUGGCUCCUCACCAUAGAAAAGGUGACAGCUGUCAGCUAUCGCAGUGGGCUUCUGUGGUUUGAAAGAGACCUCGGUAUUGUAUGCUCAUCUGAGUAAUUGGAAGCCGGACUCGUCACAUCUUUUUCAGCAAUGACACUGGAACAGCAUGGACCCAUCCAUCAUCAUGUUCUCCUUAUGAAAAUGGCUUCCAGUGGUCAGCUUCCAGUCAUAACUAAUUAGUCUUCCAACGUAGGAGCACUCAGAAGCAAAGCAACUCUGAGGGCUUCGACACCUUUCGCAGUGAAGUCGAGAGGAGCCCCCUCCGUGGAGUUAAAUAAAGUGGAAAUGAAGCGCAGCAGCUCACCCAAUCAGACACAGAACAGACAUUUGGCAUUUUAAAAAUGCCUUUUAAAUGUCUAGAUAGAUGGUAUAUUACCCUGUAGCCUUUUCAAAAUCUGUGCGACAUGCCAGGAAUGCUACUGUCUAAAAAGUCAGCCCUGGGAGCCCUCUGAUUUGCCCUGGUAAGAAAGGCGGCAGCCCUGCCACCUCAGGAAGAAAAAUGUUGUCACUAGCUUCAGGAAACAGAUUUGCAUGUGACCUCAGGACACGGAAGAGCUUGCAGCAUGCUUUGUUCAAGAUUUUCAUCCAGUCAGUCAAGUUACACAGUGCAGCCUGCCCACUCAGGCAAUAUGCAAAGGAGACUCACCUCAGAGACUCACCGAUUCCCUGACAGUUGAAAGGGCAAAGGGUCUUUAGAACAACACUAGAAACAUGCACUGCCUGGAGGCAAUGGUCAGGAUCGUGUAAGCUCAGGAGACACUUUCAUCUUGAGCCCAGUGACCAGAGACCGCACCUGAGUCUAGGCUCACUGCCAUGCCGUGAAUCAAACCAAGACAUCCCAGGAUGUAUUCAUUCAUGUGUAUUUGUGCCUUUUUUUUCAUUGGAUAAAAUACAUGACAGAGGCAACGUAAAAUAAAUUUUUAUUUCAGCCCA
rnacentral:lncRNA from 1 species